AUCCUUUUCUGGUUCAUAAGUAAGAUGAUUGGGCUUUCACAUGUUUCUGUGAUAUGUGCCUCCCUUAAUCCUUGUUAUGACGCCGGCACAUUACCCAUCUGACA